AAUUAUCUAAUGAUAUCACGGCCGACAAGUUUCCUUUGCACAGAUCUCCCCUCAGGGAAAAUUCUGAUAACACUUCGAUCAGAGUACAGGGAAUGAAGCCAUCUAUUCUUACUGCGAAGAACAACGUUCCACUUAACCCAACGUCAACAUUGUUAGCAACAACUACAGCUCAAAUAUCAUCGAAUUCAACGCAAUCAACUUAGUCUCAUUCAGCAGAAUCAACGAGUCAACCAAUUUGUAGACAAUUGACACCGGCAGGUCUGAAUCAAAUGUUUCGCGGCAUCAAUAACGAUCAUACUUAUACAGCAGGCACCGAUUCACGGAAAACGUUACCAGAAACGAAUCCAGAAAAAACAAACAAAAUUGCCAAAUUGAACAAAUUGACAAAGCAGAAGUAUGCACGGGCUUGUCAAAAAUUGGAACGCUGUAAGAAGAUCAUUGAAAGCCUUCGUCAAGUACCUGAACUUCAAAAUGCUUUGCGCGAAGUACUUGAGAACAAUUUCCAAAAUAUUAUUUAUGACGAUACAGUUUCUAUGCAGAACUAAUUUGAGGAAAUUUUGAGCGAAGAAAGAAGAGUUGGUGGGAUCAUCCUCUAGGAAAAAACCUCAUCAUGGCGCGAGUUCUCAGUUAAUUUAAUUGCCUUCUUAAAUUGUACAUAUAUAUUUUUUUUUAC